GCAACAGUGAGCAGGACAGUGGGACCUACACCGUGGUGAUGAGCCACCUGCGGGAGGAGGACGCGGGGUGGUACUGGUGUGUGGCCAGGAACAGGCACAGGGAGCACACGACCUCCAUGAAACUGCGCAUCGAGACGGAAACCUUCACUUCACAAAACCCAUCAAGGCACAAUUCUGUGAACCCCACUUCGCCGUUAAGGUCAGCUUCCAAACAUGUAGUGGCACAGAGGAGCACCACAUGGUCAACAUACACCAUGGGACCAACAGACACCACUGGGCCAACAUACACCACGGGACCAACAGACACCACUGGGCCAACAGACACCACGGGACCAACAGACACCACUGGGCCAACAUACACCACGGGACCAACAGACACCACUGGGCCAACAUAUACCAUGGGACCAAGAGACACCACUGGGCUGACAUACACCAUGGGGCCAACAGACACCACAUGGCCAGCAUACACAACUGGGCUGAGACACAGCACAAAGUUGGCAUACAGCAUGGGCACCAGCACUGAGGGCACCAGACCCCAUCCACCAGUUCUCUCCCCUGGCACCUUUGUGACUUCCCACAGUGACACCUACAUCCAGAGGUAAGUUCAUGGCUGCAUUUCCCAUAGGCACAACGUUGGUGCUUUGCUCCUGCCUGCCCUGUUUCCCUGGGCUCUACACAGGCGGUGCAUAUGCUGCAGAUUAUGAACUCCGAUAGAAGAGAGGAGUAAUUAGAAAAGCAGUAGGCAAGCAUAUCUCUUGUCCAUUUGUGGUGUGGGUCUUUGAAC
rnacentral:lncRNA from 1 species